AUUUCCUUGUAACUUCUUCAUAAAUUUAUUUCUUGCACCAAAACAAUGUCAUCCAAGACAGACCUUGUAAAAAUAGGAAUGGAAGGUUUUGCAAUACUGGAUGCGUACUAUGGAAAGAAGGGCAGGUCUAAUCCACAAAAGCCUUAUGGUCCACAAGAACCUAAACUGACUUGUCUUUACCAGUAGCAACCACAACAGGCACUAGUUUAUCAGGUAAAACAGGAUGAGAUUAUGAACUCCUACAAGGUGUUGCAGCUUCAUGAAGGCGUGAUGGUUAAGGAUUAUACCAGUAAAUCUCAAGCUAUGUCUUAUUAGACUCUCUUUUUUGGACAGUCUAUAUGUUAUAAAAUAUAUCUACAUAGUUAGCAGGCUCCCUUUGUAUGAUACAAAUGCGGAGUCACUGUAUAAAUACUAGUCACCCGGAAGUUUUUAGGUGUAGACAAAAUUUAUCACACUUUUUUAUAUGAAUUGAAUAAUUAUCAGCUUUAGUAUUGAA